UACGGAAGGGUGCAAGCGUUACUCGGAAUUACUGGGCGUAAAGCGUGCGUAGGCGGUUUGUUAAGUCCGUUGUGAAAGCCCUGGGCUCAACCUGGGAAUUGCAGUGGAUACUGGCGAGCUAGAGUGCGGUAGAGGAUGGUGGAAUUCCCGGUGUAGCGGUGAAAUGCGCAGAUAUCAGGAAGAACACCCGUGGCGAAGGCGCUCUCUGGAACGCAACUGACGCUGAGACGCGAAAGCGUGGGGAGCAAACAGG
rnacentral:rRNA from 1 species